rnacentral:rRNA from 1 species
AAGCGCCCCACGUUCGGAUUGCAGGCUGCAACCCGCCUGCAUGAAGCCGGAAUCGCUAGUAAUCGCGGAUCAGAAUGCCGCGGUGAAUACGUUCCCGGGUCUUGUACACACCGCCCGUCACACCAUGGGAGUCGGGAAUGCCCGAAGUCAGUGGCCCAACCGGAAGGGGGGAGCUGCCGAAGGCAGGCCCGGUGACUGGGGUGAAGUCGUAACAAGGUACC